AAAGCAAACACAAACAGAUUUGGCAAACCUCUAAUAUCAACACUCAAGACAUAUGCAUGUUCAAAUCAAAAGGUCUUUUAUGGGUGAAAUGAGGCCAAGGACAAGGGAGGAUAAAUAUGGAUAAGAAGCUACAAACCAAAAAGAAUAGAGGAGUAAUGGGGAACAAGUGAAAACACAGUCAAACCACACCCAAAACCUCUAAUUCAAUCCUCUUCUUGACUCCAUUACUCAUAAAUUUUUUUAUUUUUCUCAUUUUUCUGUAUUUUUUUCUUUUUUUUUUCAUCUUGUCUCUUUUCUUUUUCUCUCUAUCAAGGACACAACUCUAAGAGACAAGAUACACAACAUAUUUACAAAAACAAAAACAAGAAGAGGAACCAACUAGCCAAUUCUCUGAAUCUCCCAAGAGACCACACUUGUUCCCAAAACACUUAGGGCUAGUAUGUGAGCUUCAA
rnacentral:lncRNA from 1 species